rnacentral:rRNA from 1 species
GCGAAGUCGUGAGGCUAAGCUAAUCUCUUAAAGCCGUUCUCAGUUCGGAUUGUAGGCUGCAACUCGCCUACAUGAAGUUGGAAUCGCUAGUAAUCGCGGAUCAGCAUGCCGCGGUGAAUACGUUCCCGGGCCUUGUACACACCGCCCGUCACACCAUGAGAGUUUGUAACACCCAAAGCCGGUGAGAUAACCUUCGGGAGUCAGCCGUCUAAGGUGGGACAGAUGAUUAGGGUGAAGUCGUAACAAGGUAGCCGUAGGAGAACCUGCGGCUGGAUCACCUCCUUUCUAAGGAA